UACGUAGGGUGCGAGCGUUGUCCGGAAUUAUUGGGCGUAAAGAGCUUGUAGGCGGUCUGUCGCGUCUGCUGUGAAAUUUCGGGGCUCAACCCCGAACUUGCAGUGGGUACGGGCAGACUAGAGUGUGGUAGGGGAGACUGGAAUUCCUGGUGUAGCGGUGAAAUGCGCAGAUAUCAGGAGAAACACCGAUGGCGAAGGCAGGUCUCUGGGCCACUACUGACGCUGAGAAGCGAAAGCAUGGGGAGCGAACAGG
rnacentral:rRNA from 1 species